rnacentral:tRNA from 1 species
ACCUGCCUGGCUCAGUUGGUAGAACAUGGCACUUGCAAUGCCAGGGUUGUGGAUUCAAUUCCCAUGGGGGGAC